GUAUAAUUAUAUCUCUUUUUUUUCAUGAAACUUCAGUCUUCACUUGGAUGAUGCAAAACACAGAUAGCAAUAACCAUUGUUUUGAUUAUGGAAGUGACAACACUUGUUGUAUCUAGGUGUGCACAGAAGCAGAAGGGAAAUAAGUAUCAUUAAAAGGAAGAAGAUACAAUGAUAGAAGAAAUGUUGGAAAGGAAUUGUCACUUCUUUUAGUAUCUUCCAAACACAGAAGUAUGACUAUAUUCCGUUCCAGGAUCAGAGCUGAAGUGUUUUGUCUGAAGGUGUACAAUAAAAGCUAAGUCAAAAACAGGAGAGGGAAAGGUUAAAUGUAAAUAGUGUAUGCUAAGAUGCAAGUAUAGUCCAGAAGUGAUUGCAGAUGAAUAAAGACAAAUAAAGAUGAAUAAAGAACA